ensembl:lncRNA
CAGUUUAAUGCCUUUCCCCGAAGACAGCCUGUCGGGGUAUCGCUUCCAGAUCGCUUCCUGUGUGUUUACGGAACUAUGUGUGUUCCCAUGGCAACGGGGAGUGCUUUAUCACCCUUACACAAUGGUAUCUUGCGUUACUGGUCAGGACGGCCCUGCCUUUCUAGUGAGCUGCCUGUGGUGUCAGUGGACACGUGGAACACUUCUGCCCCUGGCUAUUGAGAAUCAAGCUGCUAGGAAUACCAGAUUCCCCAUCCAACUGGUUGGGAAGCUCUUCAUGUGGCUUUUCAGAGUGGACAGUCCUGCUAGCUGUCCCUUUGCCCUCUGCCAGAUCCCCAGAGUUCUUUUCAUUCAUUGAUGGCUUAGGAAGAGAGAGUGUGUGCAAGACACACGUGUCUUCUACUCACUGGCCAAGAUAAGACAAGACUACAACAUCAUUUCCUGGUCCUGCCUACUUCCUGUGGGCGGCCCCUUCUCCACGAGAGCAGCACCUGACACAGGGGACUCAUUCUCCUUUGAUGCUUUUUAAAGGUGUACUUGUGACUCGAAUGACUGUGAUCCUGGGAAAACUCAACAUUUCAUCUCAUCAAAGUCACCUUUCCAACUUUAGCAGUGAAAACUACAAGAAAGGGGGUCAAAAUUCAGAUUAGGCAUCCUGGAGCAUCCUCUCUGGCUCCACAAGGUGAUCAGAGAGUGUGGACACAUAUCCAUCUAUUGACAAAUAAUUGUGAAAGGCAAAAUGUCUCCCUAAAUUAUAGUAAUGCACAUGUGAUGUGUAUAAUUCAACACCCUUUUGUGUAGGAAGUAGCCAUACUACUAAUACACUGCUGGUGGAAUUCUUAAUUGGUUUAGCCACUUAAAGAGAAAUCAGUAUUAUGUCUUAAAGUUGAAAAUGUAGGCAUCCUAUGGCCCAGCAAUUCCAUCAAUAUGAUCAAUAAAGAUUUAUUUCCCAAUCAGCAACCCAAGAUGACUGAAUAGUGCAAACAACUGCAUAUAUAAAUGACUCCCAGUGGUUUCAUUUUUCAAUGAGAUGAUAUCUGAAGAGCAGGAAAAAAAUGACUGGGUUCAUAUGGAGGAGAAAUCAGUUCCGCUGGAAUGCUGCUGUCAGGACUGAACACAAGGCGGCAAGUUUGUAGAUGGUGGAGACCCUCGUGCUGUUUAUCUCACAGACAUUCUCAUGUAAGCCUGCCUGGGAGAACUGAAACAGGUGGACGUAUCUGUGUAAAGAAGAAGCAGUGUGGUAUCAUCUCAUAUGGUUCUCACACCAUGGGACACAUGAGAAAGAAUCACCAAGUUUAUACCAAUUCUUUUUAUUAACAGAAGUAUUGGUUCAGGAUGAGUGGAAGCAUUGUAGAAUUUAUCUGCUGUCAGACAAGUAGAGAUUUCUAGGUAAUAUUCUGCUUCCCAGACUGGCCACUUGAGUAAUACGAUAAGAACAUAGCCAUCAUGGUAGUGGCAUAAGUACCUACAUUUUCUCUUAAAUAAUCACUUACCUGGGGACCUCACCUCUUGAGAAUAUGUUGAAAAUAGAAAAUGUAUAUAAAGUCAGAUAGGCCUUCGUGAGAACAGUUGGUCUUUCCUGGGGGUAAUUUUGCCUCUCCCUGUAGGGAACAUUUGACGAUGUCUACAGACAUCUCUGAUUGGGCUGACUAACAAGGAAGGAAGAACUGCUAAUGGUGCCUAGAAGGUGGAGGGCAGGGAUCCUGAUCAAUAUUCUAAAAUGCACAGGAUGGCCUGUUAUAAUUUAGAUCUCAAGGGGCCGGGGAUUUAGCUCAGUGGUUCCGCCGCCUGCCUCGCAAGCACAAGAACCCGAGUUCGACCCCCAGUACCAAAAACAAAACAAAACAAAAAUAAUUUAGAUCUCAAAUGUCUCCCCAAAGUCUCCGGUGUGUGGAAGAUCGUUGGGUCAUGG